ensembl:lncRNA
GGGAAGGGGAAAACAUCAUCAAUCUAAGGCAGCACGAGGAAUAUUUGAGAUGAAUUACUGAAGGGAAGGGGCUGCCAACCCAAUGCUGUCUGGGGUAACACCACUGUCCAGUGCAGGAGCCCUCUGGGGUGAAGAGCCGCUUUAAAGCAUCGCCGUCUCUGGAACCUGGAAAGGAAACUCUCUCAUUAUCCACUGAUAUUUAUGGCCAUCAUUUGGUGCUCUGCUCAAGGCAGACGUCUGAGAGGAGGAAGGAAGAGACAGACGCUCAGCACGGAUAAAUGCGUGCUUCCCAAAGGUGCUGUCAAGCCUGCUGAGCUCAAAGCCAGCCUGCAGCCUGGGGGUGCACCCCAGGGCUCAUACCUGCACCCCCGCCCCUCACUGACAGCAUCUGCUGGGGACACCCAUCCCUCCUUCUGCUGAGGCUAAGGGAAAGUGUUCAGGUGGCUGUGGCACAUCUGAUGGAUCCAGAGACAGCCUCGUUAAAGCAUUGAUUUGCCCAUUGGUGCGAGAUGGGGGAAGAGUAGCAAGAAGCAUCCGAAUAUAACAAGAAGAUCAUGGGAUCACUGUGUGUUUGACCGGCACUGAGCAUGCACUGCUGUCCCAAAGCUUCUCUGAAGGUCUCAGCUACAAAGCACAGGGUCAUGCAAGGACAACGUCUUCUUAUGACCUCUGGCAAAGUAGCUGAUGUCCGUGCCCUUGAUUUGACUCACAUGCAGCUGGGGGAUGAUUGUGCCUGUCUCCCAAGACAGGUGGCUGCUUUAUUAAUGAACGGUUGCAAAAUGUUCUGAGAUCCUCUGAUGAGGCAUCUCUGGAAAGAGCAAAACACGACAGUGCCAAUGGAAAUUGGCUGUUUGGCUCCAAUCGCAUGCAGAAAGAGAGCCACGCAUCAGAGCUGAGCGCGUGGAACAGGAAACAUGAGGCAGGGGGAGAAACCAGGCACGGUACCGGACGUCAGUGAACAAAUGCUGGAGCUGUUGUUUGUUGCCAAAAGAAGGCACGUCGGGUUUGUCAGUGAAAGCAGAAGGCUUCAUUCGGUUGCGUUGGGAGAGCUCCAAGCCCACCAGCCCCUUCAGACACUGACAGGCCGCUAUAGGUCUCCCUGCAGCCUUCCCUUCUCCAGCUGCACAGCCCAGCUCUCAGCCUGGCCUCGCAGGGAGGUGUUCCAUCCCUGGGCCCUUCUCUGGAUGCUCUCCAACAGGUGCACAUCUGUCCUGUACUGAGGACUCCCCAUCUGGAUGCAGUGCUGCAGACCAAGAGAAACCUGUGCUGAUGGAAUAGGAAAUCUGACUUCAAAGCAAUUCCGAGUCAGAUGGCAGAAGAAGUGCCCCAGGCACACAACUGCUGUUAACAGAGGUUGGUGGUGGGAGCAGAGAGGUGUCCAGGGCACAGCAGUGGAGUUCACUGAUGUGUUUCAGUGUUUGGUGCGUUAUCUAAAUGGAACUGGGAGGAAUAAACCCCUCACUCUCUUUAUGAGGGGAAAUCCGUGCUAUGCAAGC